rnacentral:sRNA from 1 species
CUGCGGGGCCCGCGGAAAACGCGCGCCGAGACCCGCUGCUGCGGUAUUAGUUCUUGCAGCUGGUGGUGGCGGCCGAGGCGGCAUGGAUCUCAGCGAGCUGGAGAGAGACAAUACGGGCCGCUGUCGCCUGAGUUCGCCUGUGCCCGCGGUGUGCCGCAAGGAGCCUUGCGUCCUGGGCGUCGAUGAGGCUGGCAGGGGCCCCGUGCUGGGUGCGCCCCUAGGGCCAGGGAGGGGAGGGGCGUGGUACGGGGGAUACGGGAAACGGGAGUUGGGAUUGCACCGCACCAGGGAAGGGGAUGUGGUCGUGGUGAUGGCACCUAAAGAAGCAGUGAUGAUAGAACAGGGAUGAAUGGCAACUUUCACGGGCUCAGUGAUUGGACCCCGGCUGCCAGAAAACUGACACCCCUCCUCCCCAGGCCCCAUGGUCUACGCCAUCUGUUAUUGUCCCCUGUCCCGCCUAGCAGAUCUGGAGGCGCUGAAAGUGGCAGGUGAGUCCGAGGUGUGCGUCUGGGAAAGGGAUUCCUGGGUAUGUGCAGGGGCAGGUGAGAACUGAAAGGGGAGGGCAGGAACUGGGAGAACCAGCUGUUCCCCUUCUCUUCCAAACCUCCUCCCAGACUCAAAGACCUUAUUGGAGAGUGAGCGGGAAAGGCUGUUUGCGAAAAUGGAGGACAGGGACUUUGUCGGCUGGGCGCUGGAUGUGCUGUCUCCAAACCUCAUCUCUACCAGCAUGCUUGGGCGGGUCAAAUACAACCUGAACUCCCUGUCACAUGAUACAGCCACUGGGCUUAUACAGUAUGCAUUGGACCAGGGCGUGAACGUCACCCAGGUAUUCGUGGACACCGUAGGGAUGCCAGAGACAUACCAGGCGCGGCUGCAGCAAAGUUUUCCUGGGAUUGAGGUGACGGUCAAGGCCAAAGCAGAUGCCCUGUACCCGGUGGUUAGUGCUGCCAGCAUCUGUGCCAAGGUGGCCCGGGACCAGGCCGUGAAGAAAUGGCAGUUCGUGGAGAAACUGCAGGACUCGGAUACUGAUUAUGGCUCAGGCUACCCCAAUGAUCCCAAGACAAAAGCGUGGUUGAAGGAGCACGUGGAGCCUGUGUUCGGCUUCCCCCAGUUUGUCCGGUUCAGCUGGCGCACGGCCCAGACCAUCCUGGAGAAAGGGGCAGAAGAUGUUAUAUGGGAGGACUCAGCACCCGAGGAUCAGGAGGGACUCAGGAAGAUCACAUCCUACUUCCUCAAUGAAGGGUCCCAAGCCCGUCCCCGUUCUUCCCACCGAUAUUUCCUGGAACGUGGCCUGGAGUCAGCAACCAGCCUCUAGCAGCUGCCUCUACGCACUCUACCUGCCUCCCCAACCCAGACAUUAAAAUUGUUUAAAGAGAACCACACAUAGGGGAUGUACUUUUGGGAGAGAAGCGAGGGGAGUGUGCUCUGCAGCCGGGUCCAGCUACUUCCUUUUGGAACCUUAAACAGAAUGGGUGUUGGUUGAUU